UUUUAUAAAGCGCCUGGACAAUGUAAAACAUUGUUGACGAGGUUAGAGUUUAUCGAAAUUUUCGGCGGGUGGCUCUAUGGCACAGUUACUGCCAUUAAUUGCUAACAAAAAGUAGUAGUAAUACUAUAACAAAUUUAGCAGG
rnacentral:ncRNA from 1 species